rnacentral:rRNA from 1 species
UACGGAGGGUGCAAGCGUUAUCCGGAUUCACUGGGUUUAAAGGGUGCGUAGGAGGGCAGGUAAGUCAGUGGUGAAAUCUCCGAGCUUAACUUGGAAACUGCCGUUGAUACUAUCUGCCUUGAAUAUUGUGGAGGUGAGCGGAAUAUGUCAUGUAGCGGUGAAAUGCUUAGAUAUGACAUAGAACACCAAUUGCGAAGGCAGCUCGCUAAACAUAUAUUGACUCUGAGGCACGAAAGCGUGGGGAUCAAACAGG